rnacentral:snRNA from 1 species
AUUCCUUAAACUAUGAGUAAGGAAAAUAAUGAUUUGGGGUGACGUCCAAAUCCUCACUGCUAACUGAGAUGAAUUUUUGAGCUGGCAAAGGUUGCCCCUAAGGUAACCCGCCUACUUUGCAGGAUGUCUAGGAAUCAUGAUCUGCCUG